GGGGGUGUAGCUCAGUGGUAGAGCGUGUGCUUCGCAUGCACAAGGCCCUGGGUUCAAUACCCAGCACCUCCA